rnacentral:rRNA from 1 species
AUGAACGCUAGCUACAGGCUUAACACAUGCAAGUCGAGGGGCAGCAUGGUCUUAGCUUGCUAAGGCCGAUGGCGACCGGCGCACGGGUGAGUAACACGUAUCCAACCUGCCGUCUACUCUUGGACAGCCUUCUGAAAGGAAGAUUAAUACAAGAUGGCAUCAUGAGUCCGCAUGUUCACAUGAUUAAAGGUAUUCCGGUAGACGAUGGGGAUGCGUUCCAUUAGAUAGUAGGCGGGGUAACGGCCCACCUAGUCUUCGAUGGAUAGGGGUUCUGAGAGGAAGGUCCCCCACAUUGGAACUGAGACACGGUCCAAACUCCUACGGGAGGCAGCAGUGAGGAAUAUUGGUCAAUGGGCGAGAGCCUGAACCAGCCAAGUAGCGUGAAGGAUGACUGCCCUAUGGGUUGUAAACUUCUUUUAUAAAGGAAUAAAGUCGGGUAUGCAUACCCGUUUGCAUGUACUUUAUGAAUAAGGAUCGGCUAACUCCGUGCCAGCAGCCGCGGUAAUACGGAGGAUCCGAGCGUUAUCCGGAUUUAUUGGGUUUAAAGGGAGCGUAGAUGGAUGUUUAAGUCAGUUGUGAAAGUUUGCGGCUCAACCGUAAAAUUGCAGUUGAUACUGGAUAUCUUGAGUGCAGUUGAGGCAGGCGGAAUUCGUGGUGUAGCGGUGAAAUGCUUAGAUAUCACGAAGAACUCCGAUUGCGAAGGCAGCCUGCUAAGCUGCAACUGACAUUGAGGCUCGAAAGUGUGGGUAUCAAACAGGAUUAGAUACCCUGGUAGUCCACACGGUAAACGAUGAAUACUCGCUGUUUGCGAUAUACAGCAAGCGGCCAAGCGAAAGCGUUAAGUAUUCCACCUGGGGAGUACGCCGGCAACGGUGAAACCCAAAGGAAUUGACGGGGGCCCGCACAAGCGGAGGAACAUGUGGUUUAAUUCGAUGAUACGCGAGGAACCUUACCCGGGCUUAAAUUGCAGAUGAAUUACGGUGAAAGCCGUAAGCCGCAAGGCAUCUGUGAAGGUGCUGCAUGGUUGUCGUCAGCUCGUGCCGUGAGGUGUCGGCUUAAGUGCCAUAACGAGCGCAACCCUUGUUGUCAGUUACUAACAGGUCAUGCUGAGGACUCUGACAAGACUGCCAUCGUAAGAUGUGAGGAAGGUGGGGAUGACGUCAAAUCAGCACGGCCCUUACGUCCGGGGCUACACACGUGUUACAAUGGGGGGUACAGAGGGCCGCUACCACGCGAGUGGAUGCCAAUCCCAAAAACCUCUCUCAGUUCGGACUGGAGUCUGCAACCCGACUCCACGAAGCUGGAUUCGCUAGUAAUCGCGCAUCAGCCACGGCGCGGUGAAUACGUUCCCGGGCCUUGUACACACCGCCCGUCAAGCCAUGGGAGCCGGGGGUACCUGAAGUGCGUAACCGCGAGGAGCGCCCUAGGGUAAAACUGGUGACUGGGGCU